rnacentral:sRNA from 1 species
UUUUUUGAGAAACCAAGAAAGUAUCUCACUGAUGGAGAUGCACUUAGUAUAAAAUUCAACGUUGGAAUAAUACAAAACGAAAU